rnacentral:lncRNA from 1 species
UAUAAUCAUUUCUCUUCUCUUUAAUCUUGUUUUUGUUGUUCUUAUUAUAAUAGUUUCAUAAUAAAAACAAUAUAAUCAUUGUUUUUCUUGUUUCCUUCAGCAAGCUGACACCGCUUGUGUUGGAGGAUGUAGCUGCAUGGAGUCUGCGGUUCAUUUGGUUCUGUGUUGCGACAUCUUCGGCAGCAUGUGGCAUCUCAUUUAUCAGUGGGU